CCUACGGGUGGCAGCAGUGAGGAAUAUUGGUCAAUGGGCGCGAGCCUGAACCAGCCAAGUCGCGUGAGGGAAGACGGUCCUAUGGAUUGUAAACCUCUUUUGUCGGGGAGCAAAAGACGCCACGCGUGGCGUUCCGUGAGUACCCGAAGAAAAAGCAUCGGCUAACUCCGUGCCAGCAGCCGCGGUAAUACGGAGGAUGCGAGCGUUAUCCGGAUUUAUUGGGUUUAAAGGGAGCGUAGGUGGAUUGUUAAGUCAGUUGUGAAAGUUUGCGGCUCAACCGUAAAAUUGCAGUUGAAACUGGCAGUCUUGAGUACAGUAGAGGUGGGCGGAAUUCGUGGUGUAGCGGUGAAAUGCUUAGAUAUCAGGAGGAACAUCGGUGGCGUAAGCGCUUUACUGGGCCGUAAUUGACGCUGAGGAACGAAAGCCAGGGUAGCAAAUGGGAUUAGAUACCCGAGUAGUC
rnacentral:rRNA from 1 species